AAGUAAAGCUGCGCUGCUGCGUGCCUUCUCGGUUCCCGUCCGCGCGAACAGACUUUGCAAACUGCUGCGCUACCAAGUGCCACUAGUGCCCACUGUCUAGGGCUAGAUGGCCUAGCCCCAGCUUGGACUGUCAGGAGAGGAGGAGUACUGGAGAGUGGAGACAGGAGUGGACUCAGACUCAGUCGACUGUGGCUGCUGUGGCAUUGCAACCUCUGAACUCUGCCUG